UACGUAGGGGGCAAGGGUUAAUCGGAAUUACUGGGCGUAAAGCGUGCGCAGGCGGUUGGGUAAGACAGAUGUGAAAUCCCCGGGCUCAACCUGGGAACUGCAUUUGUGACUGCACAGCUGGAGUGCGGCAGAGGGGGAUGGAAUUCCGCGUGUAGCAGUGAAAUGCGUAGAUAUGCGGAGGAACACCGAUGGCGAAGGCAAUCCCCUGGGCCUGCACUGACGCUCAUGCACGAAAGCGUGGGGAGCAAACAGG
rnacentral:rRNA from 1 species